CCUACGGUGGGCAGCAGUGGGGAAUAUUGGACAAUGGGGGAAACCCUGAUGCAGCGACGCCGCGUGAGUGAAGAAGUUUUUCGGAUUGUAAACCUCUAUCAGUGGGGACGAUAAUGACGGUACCCACGGAAGAAGCCACGGCUAACUACGUGCCAGCAGCCGCGGGAAUACGUAGGUGGCAAGCGUUUUCCGGAAUUACUGGGUGUAAAGGGAGCGUAGGCGGGAUGGCAAGUCAGAAGUGAAAAUUAUGGGCUCAACUCAUGAACCGCUUUUGAAACUGAUAUGCUGGAGUGAAGGAGAGGCAAGAGGAAUUCCUAGUGUAGCGGUGAAAUGCGUAGAUAUUAGGAGGAACACCAGUGGCGAAGGCGGCUUGCUGGGCUUUUACUGACGUUGAGGCUCGAAAGCGUGGGGAGCAAACAGGAUUAGAUACCCUUGUAGUC
rnacentral:rRNA from 1 species